rnacentral:rRNA from 1 species
GAUUAAGAGCUUGCUCUUAUGAAGUUAGCGGCGGACGGGUGAGUAACACGUGGGUAACCUACCCAUAAGACUGGGAUAACUCCGGGAAACCGGGGCUAAUACCGGAUAAUAUUUUGAACUGCAUAGUUCGAAAUUGAAAGGCGGCUUCGGCUGUCACUUAUGGAUGGACCCGCGUCGCAUUAGCUAGUUGGUGAGGUAACGGCUCACCAAGGCGACGAUGCGUAGCCGACCUGAGAGGGUGAUCGGCCACACUGGGACUGAGACACGGCCCAGACUCCUACGGGAGGCAGCAGUAGGGAAUCUUCCGCAAUGGACGAAAGUCUGACGGAGCAACGCCGCGUGAGUGAUGAAGGCUUUCGGGUCGUAAAACUCUGUUGUUAGGGAAGAACAAGUGCUAGUUGAAUAAGCUGGCACCUUGACGGUACCUAACCAGAAAGCCACGGCUAACUACGUGCCAGCAGC